GAAAAUCAUAAGUUUGAAAAAAAAUAAAAAGGUAGAAAGAGAAAGUGAAGUUCUUAGAGGAAGAAAAGAAAAGCCAAGUUAAUUAGAGAGGAAGAUUGAAGAGGAAGGACUAUAGAAUCAAGAGAAUCAAGGUAUGAGAGUAGUAUUUGUUCAUCUAGAGUGAUUCAAUGGAAGAGGAAAAAUCUUACUUUCUCCAUCCCUUUCUUCCUACACUCUAAUUUGGGAUUUUUGGUAAUUUAAUGAUAAAAGAAAUGAUAUCUUUUGGAUUCCAUUAUGUUUGUUAAACUUAUUACUAAUUAGAUGUACGGAUUUUGGGUUAUAAAGAUGGAAAAUUGUAGAUCUUUGUAAUGAUUUAAAUGUGUUUAUGAGUUUUGAAUAAAAAUGGUUUAAUCUCAUGAAUUUGACAUGUUUUGAUGUAAAUGUGUGACCUUGAUUGUACUUUUAUGUUUAGUAUGAUCAUGUAUGCUCAAAGUUUCCAUUUUUAUGUGUUUAUAAUUUGGAAUUGGUGAUUUGGAAGGGUUUUACGUGGAAGCCCGAAGCAGGGAACACCUGAAUUGGUGUGNNNNNNNNNCUUAGCGAGCUGGCCUGUUCAUCCUGUUCUUGAGACAUGAUGAAGGCUCGUCUAGCGAGACACUCUCGCCGAGUCUCGCCAAGGCUCGUGUCAGGCCUCGCUUUGAUCCUGAAGCUUUCGGUUUUGCGUCACUGUGACCAUACUAGCUCUCGCUAAGUGAUGGUAGCAGGACAUGAUUUUGUGAUUUCAAUUCUAAAUAAUGAUAUGUUUGAAUCAUGUGUAUAACUUGCUUGGAUUGUGAAAUAAAAAUUGUAUGUGUAGAUAAUUAUUUAUGGUAAUAAUUAUGAUUGAUGGAAGUACGUGAAUUAUGUGAUUGAUGCUAAUGUUGAGGUAAAUAUAUAUUUGUACAUAUGGUGAUGUAAGUAUCAUAUGGUUGAUACGUAAAUAUGUUCAUGCAUUCAUGAUGUAUGUUAUACCUCUUGAAGGUAGGAAAUCCAAAUGUUGUUGUUCAAGUGCAUAGCCGUGAGUAGAGCUGUCAAAAUGGGCUAACCCGAAUGGGCCGGCCCGCCAAGCCCGAUUUUUUCCCGGGCUUGGGCCUCGAAAAAUAUCGGGUGAGAGAAACUCAUAAGUAGUGGGUGAGUAAAAAUAGAGCAUGCAAAAAACUCGUAGGUAGCAUAUGAGUAAAAAUAAGGCGCGCGGGAAACUUAUAGGUAGCGGCUGAGUAAAAAUAGGGCGCGCGAGAAUUUUUUAUCCUAUAUACAUUAUAUGUAUAAUAUAAGAGUAUUGAAUUAUUGAUUAACAUAGCGUAAUAAUUAAUUUGAAAGUCCAAUUUUGGUAUGCACAACAAAGCGUAGUAGUUUUUUAGUUAUUUAUAAUAUUGAGUUUGAACAUAAAAAGUAAAAUUAAAAAAAUUAAAUAAAAAAUUUGGGUCGGCCCGAAAGCCCGACAACCCGUACCGGGCCGGGCUUGGACACUAAUUUUCAUAGCCCGUUUUUAUCCGGAAUUUUUAGCCCGGCCCGAUAAAGCCCGAAUUGAGUUGGGCCGCCCGUUUUGAGAGCUCUAGUCGUGAGCUAGGGAGGUGCACAAUGGGAUAUAAGUUUAUGCACAAAGAGGAAUGGUACCGCAUGCAUAUAGAUAUGCAUUAGGAGACAUUACAUCUCUAAAUGACAUUAGUGUGCAUUAGGGACUAUGCAUUCUUUCUUUUUUUUUGGGUCAAGUAGUCUCGUGGUUAGAAAAUUCACCUUAAAAGUGAACAAAUGGAGCGUCCCGGGCUCCUGCACAUAUAGUGCGAUGUCCUUACCAACUGAGCUAAGCUCACGGAGACAGGGACUAUGUAUUCUAUUGAUGAUAAUUGGUAUUUGACAUUGGAAUGACAUAAGCGUAAUUGAUGAUUAUGCGUAUAUAUGUUAUCUAAUUGUUCUCUUAUGGGAUGAAAUGAGUAUGCCUAUUUAGUAGGAUUGUGUAAGAGAAUGUAUGCUUAUGAUAUGCUUUACUUUAAUUCAAGUGUUUAGUAUUCGAGAUUACUUGCACUAUUAUUGAUGUCAAUUAUUAACUCUCUGUUUUGUGUAUGUGUUGGACUUUCGGGGAUCCAGAUUCCCAGGUAGAGGACACCAGCUCUAAGGAGUAGUCGCUUCUUUGCUUUGCUAGCUUGGUGAGGAGUCUAGCGAGUAGCUAUCUCUAGUUUAGUUUGUUGGGUUGUAAUAAGUAGAUGCUCUGAUAUUGUAACAUCUAGUCGAGUUUUCGCGCUAGUAUGUUAUUGAAUCUUUUGUCUAUGUAUGACCUUGCUUUUAUUAUGAUUGUAUGAGGAUGUUAUCCAUGUGUUUGGAUUAUGGCUUUUGGAGAUGUAAGCUUGGAGAAAUACUUCAAUAGGCACAAACCCAAAUAAAAUAGGUUUAGGCACACUUACAUAAAAUAUAAAAAUUAAAGAAAAAAGAAUGAAAAUGAUGAUAUUUGAUGUGACUAAAUUACUUUUGUUUUAAUUUUUUGGAUUUGUGAGUGUGUGCCCAAAUAUAUUGUAUUUGGGUUUGUGCCUAUGUAAGACAUGCUCGUAAGUUUGAUGCAUGAUUACUUAGUAUUUGAAAUGCUAUUUGAAUUAUUCCGUUGUUUAUUAAAUGAAAUAUCUCUGAUGUAUGGUUUUUAAUUAAACCUUAGAAUACUUGCAUGUUUAUUUAAUUAAGUUGUUAAGUACGCGCAAGGUUUUAGGGUGUUACAUUUUUGCCAUCAAAUUAACUAGUAUGUUAGCAUGUGCCAUGCACGGGA
rnacentral:lncRNA from 1 species